GACGAACGCUGGCGGCGUGCCUAAUACAUGCAAGUAGAACGCUGAAGGAGGAGCUUGCUUCUCCGGAUGAGUUGCGAACGGGUGAGUAACGCGUAGGUAACCUGCCUGGUAGCGGGGGAUAACUAUUGGAAACGAUAGCUAAUACCGCAUAAGAGUAGAUGUCGCAUGACAUUUGCUUAAAAGGUGCAACUGCACCACUACCAGAUGGACCUGCGUUGUAUUAGCUAGUUGGUGAGGUAACGGCUCACCAAGGCAACGAUACAUAGCCGACCUGAGAGGGUGAUCGGCCACACUGGGACUGAGACACGGCCCAGACUCCUACGGGAGGCAGCAGUAGGGAAUCUUCGGCAAUGGACGGAAGUCUGACCGAGCAACGCCGCGUGAGUGAAGAAGGUUUUCGGAUCGUAAAGCUCUGUUGUAAGAGAAGAACGAGUGUGAGAGUGGAAGGUUCACACUGUGACGGUAUCUUACCAGAAAGGGACGGCUAACUACGUG
rnacentral:rRNA from 1 species